AUCAUAUUCCCGAAUCAAACAAACACAAUCUCCUUUUGUGUGUUUCCACCUGCGAACUGAACGAGCCAACACAAAUAUACGAGCUUCUUCUGUAAGAAAAGAUGCAGAAAGACAUGGUAAUCGCAGAGGAUAAACAUCUUCCACAAGGAUAUCCAGCUGCAGAAAAAGUUGAUGUAUCUGAACAAGCAGGACAAGACGAGAAGAAGAAGAAGCCAAGGUUUUUCGAGACAAAGCAGAAAGGAGACAGAGGCUUCAUUGAAGGAUGUCUCGCUGCACUAUGCUGCUGCUGGAUUUGUGAAAUGUGUUUCUAAGGAAAAGUUGAACUCUACAGUGUGUCGAGCUUCCUUGUGUAUCUAUUAGUGGCUUUAAUAUUAUUACCGUGAUUGGAUUGCAUGACUAUGUAGUAGCUCAAUCUGAAACUUACUAUACUAUGUGUGUGGCGUUUGUAUGUAUUGUAAGAUUGCAGGACUAUAUAGUAGCUUAAUCUGAAACUUCAUGUAAUGUGUGUAGUGUUUAUAUGUAUUGAAAGAUGAUUAUUAUACUAAUAAUGUAAAGGUGGUCAUAUUUUCUGA